rnacentral:rRNA from 1 species
GACAGAGGCCCCAAGCGUUAGGCGGAAUCACUGGGCUUAAAGCGUGUGUAGGCGGAUCGUUAAGUGUCUUGUGAAAUCCCACGGCUCACCCGUGGAACUGCUGGGCAUACUGCGGAUCUUGGGCCAACUAGGGGCAGCCGGAACAAGCGGUGGAGCGGUGAAAUGCGUAGAUAUCGCUUGGAACGCCGAAGGUGAAAACAGGCUGCUGGGGUUGCGCCGACGCUGAGACACGAAAGCCAGGGGAGCAAACGGG